ACGUAUCCAGAGUGCAGCGAGGGAAUCGGCCCAAUGACCUGCCAGCAACCCUUCUCCGCCGUCGCCCCUAUCGGGGCUAUGGCGGACCAGCCUACGGCUGGGACAAGAAGAAGGUGCCAACUCCGACCCGUGAUGGGAAAGAUAACCU
rnacentral:ncRNA from 2 species